UACGACUACAUAUCAGGCAUAUCAAUAAGCGGAGGAAAAGAAACUAACAAGGAUUCCCCUAGUAACGGCGAGUGAAGCGGGAAGAGCUCAAAUUUGAAAUCUUAAAGGGUUUCCCUUUACGAAUUGUAGUUUAAAGAAGUGUUUUCUGUUGGAGUUUCGGUAAAAGUUCUUUGGAGUAGGACAUCAUAGAGGGUGAGAAUCCCGUAUUUGACCGUUACUUUCCAGCUGUGUGAUACACUUUCAAAGAGUCGGAUUGUUUGGGAAUGCAGUCCAAGAUGGGUGGUAAAUUUCAUCUAAAGCUAAAUAUUGGCGAGAGACCGAUAGCGAACAAGUACCGUGAGGGAAAGAUGAAAAGAACUUUGAAAAGAGAGUUAAACAGUACGUGAAAUUGUCAAAAGGGAAGCGUUUGACACCAGUGUUGUUUAGUUGAAAAUCAAUUCAAUAGUUUUUGAUUUUGAAGUAGUAUUGACUUCAUCAGCUUGCUGCUUUCUUUCUCAGAAAUUAUUGAAUGCACUUUUCAGUUAACAAGUCAAUAUCAAUUUCUUUUGUUGUAAAAGGGUAAGAGGAAGGUGGCUUGCGCUUCGGCUCAAGUGUUUAUAGCCUUUUAUCUCUGCAAUCGGAGAGAUUGAGGUCUGCAGCGUAGAUCCUUCGGGGUUAGAUACAUUGGUGCUAAGCUAUAGCCUUGUAUAGACAACUGGUUGACUAUGCUCAGUCAUGUAGCUUACUCGCUGAUGCUAUUUUACCUACGCUUAGGAUGUUGAGUAGCGACAUACGCAC
rnacentral:rRNA from 1 species